rnacentral:rRNA from 1 species
UACAGAGGUCUCAAGCGUUGUUCGGAUUCAUUGGGCGUAAAGGGUGCGUAGGCGGCGCGGUAAGUCGGGUGUGAAAUCUCGGGGGUUAACUCCGAAACUGCAUUCGAUACUGCCGUGCUUGAGGACUGGAGAGGAGACUGGAAUUUACGGUGUAGCGGUGAAAUGCGUAGAUAUCGUAAGGAAGACCAGUGGCGAAGGCGGGUCUCUGGACAGUUCCUGACGCUGAGGCACGAAGGCCAGGGGAGCAAACGGG